ACUCCUACGGGAGGCAGCAGUGGGGAAUAUUGCACAAUGGGCGCAAGCCUGAUGCAGCCAUGCCGCGUGUGUGAAGAAGGCCUUCGGGUUGUAAAGCACUUUCAGUAGGGAGGAAGGUAGUGUAGUUAACACCUGCAUUAUUUGACGUUACCUACAGAAGAAGCACCGGCUAACUCCGUGCCAGCAGCCGCGGUAAUACGGAGGGUGCGAGCGUUAAUCGGAAUUACUGGGCGUAAAGCGCAUGCAGGCGGCCUGUUAAGUCAGAUGUGAAAGCCCGGGGCUUAACCUCGGAAUUGCAUUUGAAACUGGCAGGCUAGAGUCUUGUAGAGGGGGGUAGAAUUUCAGGUGUAGCGGUGAAAUGCGUAGAGAUCUGAAGGAAUACCAGUGGCGAAGGCGGCCCCCUGGACAAAGACUGACGCUCAGAUGCGAAAGCGU
rnacentral:rRNA from 1 species